rnacentral:rRNA from 1 species
UGGGGAAUAUUGCACAAUGGGCGCAAGCCUGAUGCAGCAACGCCGCGUGAACGAUGAAGGUCUUCGGAUCGUAAAGUUCUGUUGCAGGGGAAGAUAAUGACGGUACCCUGUGAGGAAGCCCCGGCUAACUACGUGCCAGCAGCCGCGGUAAUACGUAGGGGGCUAGCGUUAUCCGGAUUUACUGGGCGUAAUGGGUGCGUAGGUGGUCUUUCAAGUCGGUGGUUAAAGGCUACGGCUCAACCGUAGUUAGCCUCCGAAACUGGAAGACUUGAGUGCAGGAGAGGAAAGUGGAAUUCCCAGUGUAGCGGUGAAAUGCGUAGAUAUUGGGAGGAACACCAGUAGCGAAGGCGGCUUUCUGGACUGCAACUGACACUGAGGCACGAAAGCGUGGGUAGCAAACAGG